rnacentral:lncRNA from 1 species
GAAACUUUUUUUUUGAAUUAAAUAUCACAACUAUAAGUAUUCAACCCCACACAACUCCAACAAGAUUAUUUCAACUCUAUGAAUGAAUGAUAACAUUGUUUUUCACUUUCAGGCUUAUAAUGAGUUUAAACAAAGAAUGAGAUAAUCGACUCAAGGGGGUUUUCAAACAAGGGAUGGUAUUAUUCAGGAUUGGCUUUUUGGCUACUGGCUAAAAAAUAAACAAAAUAAAAAUAAGUUGCAUUUAUUAUAAUAAUGUGUAUAAGUAAACAAAAAGUUCCAACAAGAGUCAAUUCAAGUUCUAGAGACUAACAAGCAUGAGUGAAACACGCAAGAAAGAAAGAGAUGGAUUUUUGAAUGUUAUCCAUUAAAAUGCUCAAAAUCUCACAAGGUUAAUUGAUCUACCAUAAAUGAUAUGCAAUUUAGAGUUUAGUCCUACAUAUCAUACUAAGAAUGCACAAAAAGAAUCAAUCACAUCACAUCCCAAGUCUUUAAUCAAGAGAACAAAGAAAAUACUCACAAUUGCAACU